AUGGGUGGUGGUGCAUGGCCGUUCUUAGUUGGUGGGUUGCCUUGUCAGGUUGAUUCCGGUAACGAACGAGACCUCAGCCUGCUAAAUAGUCACUGUCGCUCCGGCGGCUGGCCGACUUCUUAGAGGGACUAUUGGCGUUUAGCCAAUGGAAGUAUGAGGCAAUAACAGGUCUGUGAUGCCCUUAGAUGUUCUGGGCCGCACGCGCGCUACACUGACGCGUUCAACGAGCCUAUCCUUGACCGAGAGGUCCGGGUAAUCUUUGAAAACGCGUCGUGAUGGGGAUAGAUCAUUGCAAUUAUUGGUCUUCAACGAGGAAUGCCUAGUAAGCGCGAGUCAUCAGCUCGCGUUGAUUACGUCCCUGCCCUUUGUACACACCGCCCGUCGCUCCUACCGAUUGGGUGUGCUGGUGAAGUGUUCGGAUUGGCGAGAGGCGGUGGCAACACUGUCUCCUGCCGAGAAGUUCAUAAACCAUCCCACCUAGAGAAGAGAAGUCGAUCAUC
rnacentral:rRNA from 1 species